CGCUCGGAGAUCCGCAAAGCGCCUCGCUCCAUAAGAGUGUCACCACGAACAGCAGCUCCAUGGUGGUGUUCGGGCUCCUCCAGCGACGCCACAUCAGCCGGGGAUGCGCGUGCCGCUGCUGCCGGAGGAUCGCACAGGAAUGCCGAUGAGACACGAAGAAGAACCGAGAGCAGCCGAGCGCGUGACGUAGGACAAGGGAGAGCAGCCAACGGCAGUGGCGCGCCCCCUAGGGGCGGAGCUUGUGGUCACCUCUCUUUAUCCCGCCCGAGAUGCAUGCGUCUCAUUGAGCUAAUGAACAUUUUACUUAAUCUCCCCCUUCAAACGAAAAUCAAGAAGUUUGUCUUUAAUUAAAAUUUGUGUUGGGUUUGUCCAUAAUCCAAGUGGAUAACAUGGAUGUGUAGAGUUCUGAUUGCAGAUUUUCUGUAUGGUCUUUUGCAAUUUUUGAGUGAUUUGUGAAUUAUUUAUUUUAAAUAAUAAUGAUUGUAUUGCACUGGUAAAUCGUGGCAUAUGUUUCUCUUUUUUUUCUGAUCUAACAUAAAAAAGGAUUAGAUAGCCUCUUCAGAUGGAAAAUAUUGUGUGGAUUUAUUUUAUAUUUGAAAAUUUAAAAAAAGUAAAAUAAAAUCCUGAUGAUUAA